GGGGGCAUGGUGUAAUUGGUAGCACGGCGGUCUCCAAAACCGCUAGUUAAGGUUCAAGUCCUUAUGCCCCUG
rnacentral:tRNA from 1 species